rnacentral:tRNA from 1 species
GGAGAGGUGGCAGAGUGGUCGAAUGCACCGGAUUCGAAAUCCGGCGUAGUGCUUGCACUACCGGGGGUUCGAAUCCCCCCCUCUCCGCCA